GUUUAUAUAAACAUGCAUUCAUAUAUUUAGGAAAACUGUUAUGUUUAUAGUAGUGGUGGGCCGUUAUCGUUGGUAACGUGCUGCGUUAACGCGAGACUCUUAUCGGGUGAUUAAAAAAUAUAUCGCCGUUAAUCUAUUCUCAAAGUUGGUUUAGGAGCUGGGUCUAUACUAAAUUUGUAAUGUUGAGUACUUUAAUGUUUAUGAGUAAUAUAUUAUUAUUUAUUUUUUCAUGUAAUAGUUUUUGCAUCAUCUUCCACUGUCUCCCCACCUCCUUCACAUUUUUGUCUUGCCACAUUCAGGACACCGACCUCAGACAUGGUUUCGAAAAGGCACCAAGAGUCGGGGGCGGAAAAAAGAAGAGACAGCGGGAUGACGCUCGCGCAUCGCUUGCAGGUAAGAAUGUUUUAAAUAAAAAUGUUAGUUUUAAAAGAACGGCGUUAGGUAACGACGUUAUUUUUUCAGUAACGCGUAAUCUAAGUAAUUACUUUUCCCGUCGUUACAACGCCGUUAACGUUACUGAAUGUUAAAUGCGGUGCGUUACUAUGCAUUGAUUUAAUAAACUAUGCAAUCCGAAUGCACCCCUGGCUCACACAGCGAUGUGUUUCAUGAUAGCCAAUCAGAGCCAGUGUUUUUACACAAAUGCCGACACUUGCGGCUGCGCCAGUGGCGUCAAACACACACAGACAUACACACACACACGCAACAGCUACACAAAGAUUUGCAGCAGAGAUGGCGAGAUUGCUAGUCAGGAGCAAUCCGAUGAAAAGUUGGCAUUUUCAAGGUGAAGAUAUAAGCACUACUUCAAAUUCAUUGUGGUCAAAGGCAAGAACGUGCAUGUAAUGUGUACAUGCAAUGUGUGACAUGCAUCUACAAAGCUAGUGGCCAAAAACACCCUUUCUUACAAAGAUAAUACUUGAAGUGCAGGAUAAAACUCUUGCUGUCUGUUGAUGUGCAAUAAAUAUUGAAAGUUAUGUACCUGUCUGUUCUACUCAUUUCAACUGACUUGUGAAAACUGCAAAAAAAAAAAAGUACAAAUUCUCUGACAUGUAGCAUUUUUUUCUUCUUUUUUUACAGUAAUGCAAAUAGUUACUUUCCCUGGUAACGAGUUACUUUUAUUAUAGAGUAAUUCAGUUACUAACUCAGUUACUUUUUGGAACAAACACCGCCAAGCAUUUGUGCUUAGGGCACCCAAAUGGCUAGCGCCGGCCCUGUGUUUAUAUAUAUAACAAAACUGUAAUAAUGUGAGAAAUGUUGAAGGUGUCUGAAUAAAUGUAGGUUUGAUUGUAUAUUUCAUUUUUACAUUGAAGACUAUCCAGUGCUAUUUUACAUUUAAUUAUUUGGUUUCUGUACCUUGACAUCUACAAACUUGAAAAAAACUUAAACAUUGGUGCGAAACAGGCGUAAAUGUUGUUUGCACCUUGUGCAAUGUGGAAUUAGUUUACAGCUUUUUCAAGCACUUUGUGAUGCAUUUUGGAAACAGGAGAUGAGCCCUUUUUCUAAUGCACCACCUAGCUUGAUAAAUGCCUUCUCAAAGACUUACUCUUUGUCAAUUUUAUUUGGGUAACACACAUAUUCUGAAUGCCUUUGUCAGAAUUCGAAUGAGCCAUUUUAAUCUAGAUUAUUUUCAAGAUCACAGUGAGAUUA
ensembl:lncRNA